rnacentral:rRNA from 1 species
UACGGAGGGUGCGAGCGUUAAUCGGAAUUACUGGGCGUAAAGCGUGCGCAGGCGGUUUUGUAAGCCAGAUGUGAAAUCCCCGGGCUUAACCUGGGAAUGGCAUUUGGGACUGCAAGGCUUGGAGUGCGGCAGAGGAGACUGGAAUUCCUGGUGUAGCAGUGAAAUGCGUAGAUAUCAGGAGGAACACCGAUGGCGAAGGCAGGUCUCUGGGCUGACACUGACGCUCAUGCACGAAAGC